AUUGAACGCUGGCGGCAGGCCUAACACAUGCAAGUCGAGCGGAGCGGCGGACGGGUGAGUAAUGCCUAGGAAUCUGCCUGGUCGUGGGGGAUAACGUCCGGAAACGGGCGCUAAUACCGCAUACUCGCAGAUGAGCCUAGGGCGGGUUAGCUAGUGGGUGGGGUAAAGGCCUACCAAGGCGACGAUCCGUACCUGGUCUGAGAGGAUGAUCAGUCACACUGGAACGGAGACACGGUCCAGACUCCUACGGGAGGCAGCAGUGGGGAAUAUUGGACAAUGGGCGAAAGCCUGAGCCAGCCAUGCCGCGUGUGUGAAGAAGGUCUUCGGAUUGUAAAGCACUUUAAGUUGGGAGGCGUUACCAACAGAAGAAGCACCGGCUAACUUCGUGCCAGCAGCCGCGGUAAUUC
rnacentral:rRNA from 1 species